rnacentral:rRNA from 1 species
GACGAACGCUGGCGGCGUGCCUAAUACAUGCAAGUAGAACGCAGUUGCGAACGGGUGAGUACCGCGUAGGUAACUGCCUCAUAGCGGGGGAUAACUAUUGGAAACGAUAGCUAAUACCGCAUACUGUGAGAUGGACCUGCGUUUGAUUAGCUAGUUGGUGAGGUAAAGGCUCACCAAGGCGACGAUACAUAGCCGACCUGAGAGGGUUGUCCGGCCCACCGGGAAUGGGACACAGCCCAGACUCCUACAGGAGGCAGCCGUAGGGAAUCUUCGGCAAUUGACGGAAGUCUGACCGAGCAACGCCGCGUGAUUGAAGAAGGUUUUCGGAUCGUAAAGCUCUGUUGUGAGAGAAGCGUUACCUAACCAGAAAGGGCCGGCUAACUACGUGCCAGCAGCCGCGGUAAUAC